rnacentral:rRNA from 1 species
GUCUACAGCCAUACCAACCUGAACACGUCCCAUCUUGUCUGGCCUCGCAAGCUAAGCAGGGUCGGGCCGGGUUAGUACUUGGAUGGGAGGCAGAGCGGUGGUUUAAGCC